UUGUGCAGUGGUAGUACCCUAAAGGCACCAGAUCCCAUUUGAUCUUGGAAUCUAAGCAGGGCCAACACUGGUGAUUAGUACUUUGAUAGGAGACUAUCAAUGAAUACCAGGUGUGGCAGAUU
rnacentral:rRNA from 1 species